rnacentral:rRNA from 1 species
CCUACGGGAGGCAGCAGUGAGGAAUAUUGGUCAAUGGGCGAGAGCCUGAACCAGCCAAGUCGCGUGAGGGAGUACUGCCCUAUGGGUUGUAAACCUCUUUUGUCGGGGAGCAAAAGCCGGACGUGUCCGGCUGUGAGAGUACCCGAAGAAAAAGCAUCGGCUACCUCCGUGCCAGCAGCCGCGGUAAUACGGAGGAUGCGAGCGUUAUCCGGAUUUAUUGGGUUUAAAGGGUGCGCAGGCGGAUUUUUAAGUCAGCGGUAAAAUCGUGGGGCUCAACCCCAUCCAGCCGUUGAAACUGGGGAUCUAGAGUGUGCGAGAGGUAUGCGGAAUGCGUGGUGUAGCGGUGAAAUGCAUAGAUAUCACGCAGAACCCCGAUUGCGAAGGCAGCAUACCGGUGCACAACUGACGCUCAGGCACGAAAGCGUGGGUAUCGAACAGGAUUAGAUACCCCUGUAGUC